rnacentral:rRNA from 1 species
CCUACGGGGGGCAGCAGUGAGGAAUAUUGGUCAAUGGGCGUAAGCCUGAACCAGCCACGUCGCGUGAGGGAUGAAGGUUCUAUGGAUCGUAAACCUCUUUUAUAAGGGAAUAAAGUGUGGGACGUGUCCUAUUUUGUCUGUACCUUAUGAAUAAGGAUCGACUAACUCCGUGCCAGCAGCCGCGGUAAUACGGAGGAUCCGAGCGUUAUCCGGAUUUAUUGGGUUUAAAGGGUGCGUAGGCGGCCUUAUAAGUCAGCGGUGAAAGUCUGUGGCUCAACCAUAGAAUUGCCGUUGAAACUGGUGGGCUUGAGUAUGUUUGAGGCAGGCGGAAUGCGUGGUGUAGCGGUGAAAUGCGUAGAUAUAACGAAGAACCCCGAUGGCGAAGGCAGACUGCCAAGCCAUGACUGACGCUGAGGCACGAAAGCGUGGGGAUCAAACAGGAUUAGAUACCCUUGUAGUC